UAAAGCGGCGUACGGGUGAGUAACACGUGGGUAAUCUACUUUUUAGUGGGGAAUAACCCUGGGAAACCGGGGCUAAUACCGCAUAAUCCUGCAAAGGGAAAGCAGCAAUGCGCUGAAAGAGGAGCCCGCGGCCGAUUAGCUAGUUGGUGAGGUAAUGGCUCACCAAGGCGGUGAUCGGUAGCCGGCCUGAGAGGGCACACGGCCACACUGGCACUGAAACACGGGCCAG
rnacentral:rRNA from 1 species